rnacentral:rRNA from 1 species
UACAGAGGGUGCGAGCGUUAAUCGGAAUUACUGGGCGUAAAGCGCACGUAGGCGGCUUUGCAAGUCCCAUGUGAAAUCCCACGGCUUAACCGUGGAAGUGCAUGGGAAACUGCAGAGCUUGAGUACUUAAGAGGAUCGCGGAAUUCCCGGUGUAGAGGUGAAAUUCGUAGAUAUCGGGAGGAACACCAGUGGCGAAGGCGGCGAGCUGGGAAGAUUCUGACGCUGAGGUGCGAAAGCGUGGGGAGCAAACAGG